GCGGAUUAAUACCGUAUGAGGUCACAAGCGGGCAUCUAAUUGUGACGAAAGGUUUGGCGGACAUGGAUGGGGAUGCGUCCGAUUAGGUAGUCGGCGGGGUAACGGCCCACCGAGCCGACGAUCGGUAGGGGUUCUGAGAGGAAGGUCCCCCACAUUGGAACUGAGACACGGUCCAAACUCCUACGGGAGGCAGCAGUGAGGAAUAUUGGUCAAUGGACGUAAGUCUGAACCAGCCAAGUAGCGUGCAGGAUGACGGCCCUAUGGGUUGUAAACUGCUUUUAUGCGGGGAUAAAGUUAGGGAUGUAUCCCUUUUUGCAGGUACCGCAUGAAUAAGGACCGGCUAAUUCCGUGCCAGCAGCCGCGGUAAUACGGAAGGUCCGGGCGUUAUCCGGAUUUAUUGGGUUUAAAGGGAGCGUAGGCCGGCUUUUAAGCGCGUUGUGAAAUGCCGCGGCUCAACCGUGGCACUGCAGCGCGAACUGGAGGCCUUGAGUGCGCGGGAGGUAGGCGGAAUUCGUGGUGUAGCGGUGAAAUGCUUAGAUAUCACGAAGAACUCCGAUUG
rnacentral:rRNA from 1 species